rnacentral:lncRNA from 1 species
AGAACUCCUCACGGAAGAGAAAGAAUUCUACAGUGAGAGAAGCUAAACAAUACACAUAUAAACAAGCAAAUACUGCAUGGCGGUAAGCGCCAUGAAGGAAAACAAAACAAGUACUUCACCUCUGCUAAGGCCCAGAACUACACCAGAUGCUGCUUUGCAAAUGGUAACUAUCUCUCUGUCAUAGAUGGCAUGGCCUUGCUCCAGAACCCUUGGGUCUGUGAUGUGACUCUUCUGUUGAACCUUGGCAGAGACUCCACACAGAACUGGUAUCUGCCAUAGCUAUCUUUAGCACUACUGAUCUGAUGAGUCAUAUGUCCUGAAUGACAGAACACUUUUCACUGCAUCACAGCCUGAAUCUGCUGCAGAUUCUCUUGCUCUGGUCCCACUGAAAGCUGG